ACAGGUCUUUGGAUUGUUAGGAGCUGCUCCUGAGUUUUAUUCCCAUUUGAACCUGAUUUAGAUGAUGUGAUCCUGGUCUUCAAGCCUGAUGAUAUAUUGGGGUGAGACUUUGGAGAUCUUGGAAUGCAAUUUGGCAAGACUCAAGUGCAGCUCUCUGACCUGGCUUUGCACCCCGAGAAAAAGUCUUAGCCCAUCAGAAUCUCUGCCUUCUUUCUGGUUGCAUUAGAGGCAAUGAGCAGAUGAUCUACUCUUUCACUUGGGACCAGAGAAAAUCAGCAGAUGAAAGGAAAAUUGAUGAAGUUUUUGGCACAAAAAAUCAUACCAAGGUUGUUAAAAAUGGGGUGGCAUAUCACAAGUGAAUCAAGGAAGAUUUGGGAUAACAUUGACCAGGUGGCCUCUGAUGACUGCUGAGGAACAAGAACCAUUUCUCCUUCAAGACUGGGAUGGAAACGCAUCUCGUGCACAGACAACUUGCAGUGCAGAUUUUCCUGAACCACUUUGUUUACUUAACAUGGCUGACUGGCUGUGAGGGCCUGGGUGUCAGACUACAUUAGCAUGCACGUACAUGUAAAAUUAAUCAACAGACCUAGCAACGCGCAGCAUAGUCCCCUUAGAGCCUGGGGUUAAAUAUCUGUCUGGAGUGAUGUUUCCUAAAAAGCUGUAUGUAAUGGCCUGAAGAGCUCAGAGUAGGCACUUAGUGGGAAAGGAAGGGCAAGACAGACACUUGAGGGGAGGUGCUGGGUUGCAGUGGACUGACAAUCUCACCAUCAUACCGAAGGUUACAACCUUAGACUCCGAAAGCUUUUAAAGCUUCUUGCAUCUGUGUUGCCUGACUGCCUUUAGCAUUAAGCACUUAUGACCACGAUGCUCUGAACAUAUGUCUUUUUCCAGAGUUUCUUUAACGUGGAUGAAAAUGUUUGCAUCUUUCUGAAAUAUCCAUCCCAUAUGUCACAGCUUUAACUUUGUUGGAUUGGGCUGAACUGUUUGUUUUUUCCAAGUUUUGCCAUUGUAAAGUUGAACAAGUAAGGUUUAGAUACAUUUUGCAGUGGUUUAAAACAACAGCGAGUUUUCUUCCUAAUAUUUGACAAAGUUCGUGAUGAGUUAGAAAGCAGCAUGGGAUAAUUGAAAGACCAUGACCUUUGGAUUCAAAUCUGGGCUCUACUAUGUAUUAGCUGUGUGAAUCAUCCAGCAUCCUUGUCCAUUGAACCACACCAUGCCAUCUCCUGAAGAACAGCAUCUCUAAGUCUAUAGUUGGGAUUAUAUGGAUCCUGUUUUAUUCGGAAGGUGCUCUAUAAGAUUAGGUACUCUGGAACCAGUUCAAGAAAUCAAUCUUAUUCGGUUGCUACCGUGACUAAUAGUCCUAAAGAAACUGAUUUGUGUUCUGACACUCCACAAGUAUCCAAAUAAUUAACAAUGAGGGAGGGAAACUUUAAAAGUGGCAGAAUAACUCCUUCCAUUUAGCAAUGUGAAUGCUGCUUGGAAAAUAUAGCAAAAUGAUAAUAAACUCAUCCAAAGACGAUAUAUUUAGAAUAGAGAAGAUUUAGAGACAUGCGUGGGAGAGAUUUCCUGGGGUGAACAGACGCAUCACCAAGCAUCAGUCAUUUGGAAGUGAGUAAUAGUCAGCUGUCAUUGAGUUGAAUAGCAGGGUUUCUUGGUCAAUGCAAUAUUUGCACUGAAUGUUUGAAGGUGCUCUAUUAGUAAAAUAAGAAAGAAAGUGAUUAGGUUUUUAUACAAGUUUCCCAAAAUUAGUCUCAUUAAA